UCCGCGGCCUAUCAGCUUGUUGGUGGGGUAACGGCCUACCAAGGCUUCGACGGGUAGCUGGUCUGAGAGGACGAUCAGCCGGAUUGGGACUGAGAUACGGCCCAGACUCCUACGGGGGGCAGCAAUUAGGAAUCUUGCACAAUGGGGGCAACCCUGAUGCAGCGACGUCGCGUGGAGGAUGAAAUCUUUCGGGAUGUAAACUCCUUUUCUCAGGGAAGAAAAAAAUGACGGUACCUGAGGAAUAAGCCCCGGCCAACUACGUGCCAGCAGCCGCGGUAACACGUAGGGGGCAAGCGUUGUCCGGAUUUAUUGGGCGUAAAGAGCUCGUAGGUGGUUCGGUAAGUCAGGUGUGAAACCUCCAGGCUCAACCUGGAGACGCCACUUGAUACUGCUGUGACUGGAGUCCGGUAGGGGAGCGUGGAAUUCCUGGUGUAGCGGUGAAAUGCGCAGAUAUCAGGAGGAACACCAGCGGCGAAGGCGGCGCUCUGGGCCGGUACUGACACUGAGGAGCGAAAGCGUGGGCAGCAAACAGGAUUAGAUACCCCGGUAGUCCACGCCGUAAACGUUGGGCACUAGGUGUGGGUCACAACCAACGUGAUCUGUGCCGUAGCUAACGCAUUAAGUGCCCCGCCUGGGGAGUACGG
rnacentral:rRNA from 1 species